rnacentral:rRNA from 1 species
GAUGAACGCUGGCGGCGUGCCUAAUACAUGCAAGUCGAGCGAACAGACGAGGAGCUUGCUCCUCUGACGUUAGCGGCGGACGGGUGAGUAACACGUGGAUAACCUACCUAUAAGACUGGGAUAACUUCGGGAAACCGGAGCUAAUACCGGAUAAUAUAUUGAACCGCAUGGUUCAAUAGUGAAAGACGGUUUUGCUGUCACUUAUAGAUGGAUCCGCGCCGCAUUAGCUAGUUGGUAAGGUAACGGCUUACCAAGGCAACGAUGCGUAGCCGACCUGAGAGGGUGAUCGGCCACACUGGAACUGAGACACGGUCCAGACUCCUACGGGAGGCAGCAGUAGGGAAUCUUCCGCAAUGGGCGAAAGCUUGACGGAGCAACGCCGCGUGAGUGAUGAAGGGCUUCGGAUCGUAAAACGCUGUUAUUAGGGAAGAACAAAUGUGUAAGUAACUAUGCACGUCUUGACGGUACCUAAUCAGAAAGCCACGGCUAACUACGU